rnacentral:lncRNA from 1 species
CCCCAACCGCCGAAUUUCUCGCUAAAAGCCUAAAACCUCAAGAAAAACAACACAAAGUCUUUCUCCGCCACCACAUUGGAGGAACAAAACCAUGUUGGCCGCAAUAAAAGAUGGACUCAAAAUCCACCUCCAACGCCACUCCUCCGUUCGCAAUGUAUGGACGAGUCGCCGGAACUCGAUCACGGACCCGAUUGCAACCUCAAAUGGUUUUGCUAAUCAACUUGCUCAUCAACUCCGACAAUCCAAAUCGUGUUCGCGUUAUCCUCAAUCUAUAUUCCGGAGAACCAAAGAGGUCGAGAUUUCGCCGACCAGUGUAAUGUCUUCACCUUCAAAAUUUGGACCAGUGAGCUGGUACCUGAGCAUGAUAAAGUCCCGCCCUAUUGUAACCAAAAGUAUUACCUCUGCCGUCAUUUAUUCCGCCGCUGAUUUUUCUUCACAGGUACCUAUUUCCUCUUUACUUAAAUAUGAAAAUGAUAAAGCCUUUGCUCGGUUGAUUUAUAUGCUACUGAGUCUACAAAGCUCCAAAAUGAACAAUUUUAUCUGUCAAAGCUCAUACAAGCAGUCGAUUUGCAAGAACCAUAUUCUCAAACGAGCCAUUAGACUGCUGUGCAUAUUAAAAGUAAAUUUUCAGAUUGCUUAAAUAUGAAAAUAAUAAUGAGUAUACUAGUAAUUGGACAAUUCCUCAUCCUCUUAAUAAGGCCGAGAUGGAACUCAUAACUUUAAUGUAUCUGCUAAAAAUUGUGAAGUGUGAAAAGUGAGGACAAGAUCUGUAUUAAUUAUUGCCUUAUUUCUAACUUGUAUGACUUGUAUGGGUGUGUUACUUAUCAAAUUUAAUGCAGAGUAUUGUGGAGAAAUCUUCAGAAGGGUACGAUUAUGUGAGGACGUUGCGAAUGGCUGGUUAUGGGAUGAUAAUAUUAGGACCUUCAUUGCACUAUUGGUUUAAUUUUGUGUCGAGAGUUUUUCCAAAGCGUGAUCUCCCGUCAACAUUUAAAAAAAUGGCUUUGGGGCAAACAGUAUAUGGGCCUACAAUGACUUCUAUUUUCUUCUCAGUUAAUGCAGCUUUACAAGGUUAAUCUCAAUCUUUUACAAUUAUUUCUAUGCUUUUGUAGGCUC